AGCAGACCCAGGAGGAACUGUCUGUUGAAGACCCCCCCCCCCCACCAAGCUGCCCACCAGAGGCCAAGCUGUACUUGGUGUUUGCCAACAUGCUGUAAUUUCCAGCCUGGUUGCUGUAGCCACAGAGGAAUUUUCAAGGACAAGAACCAGUGCUGGUAAAACUGUGGUCUCUGUGGUUUUCCAUACCGGCUCUCGGCAAGGAUUUUCAAGAAAGGAAUACCAUCUCCAAAUCAUGAUGUGCCAAUAAGCUCCAGUUAGCUGCGGCCUUUUCCCCAGGCGGUAGUCCUGCAAUCUGAAUCCAGGAGAUGCAGCUCUGAAUCCAAUAUUUCAGAAGAAUGAAGAUGAAGCAGACCCAGGAGGAACUGUCUGUUGAAGACCCCCCCCCCCACCAAGCUGCCCACCAGAGGCCAAGCUGUACUUGGUGUUUGCCAACAUGCUGUAAUUUCCAGCCUGGUUGCUGUAGCCACAGAGGAAUUUUCAAGGACAAGAACCAGUGCUGGUAAAACUGUGGUCUCUGUGGUUUUCCAUACCGGCUCUCGGCAAGGAUUUUCAAGAAAGGAAUACCAUCUCCAAAUCAUGAUGUGCCAAUAAGCUCCAGUUAGCUGCGGCCUUUUCCCCAGGCGGUAGUCCUGCAAUCUGAAUCCAGGAGAUGCAGCUCUGAAUCCAAUAUUUCAGAAGAAUGAAGAUGAAGCAGACCCAGGAGGAACUGUCUGUUGAAGACCCCCCCCCCCCCACCAAGCUGCCCACCAGAGGCCAAGCUGUACUUGGUGUUUGCCAACAUGCUGUAAUUUCCAGCCUGGUUGCUGUAGCCACAGAGGAAUUUUCAAGGACAAGAACCAGUGCUGGUAAAACUGUGGUCUCUGUGGUUUUCCAUACCGGCUCUCGGCAAGGAUUUUCAAGAAAGGAAUACCAUCUCCAAAUCAUGAUGUGCCAAUAAGCUCCAGUUAGCUGCGGCCUUUUCCCCAGGCGGUAGUCCUGCAAUCUGAAUCCAGGAGAUGCAGCUCUGAAUCCAAUAUUUCAGAAGAAUGAAGAUG